rnacentral:rRNA from 1 species
GACGAACGCUGGCGGCGUGCUUAACACAUGCAAGUCGAACGAAAAUACCAAGCUUGCUUUGUUGAUUAGUGGCGAACGGGUGAGUAACACGUGAGUAACCUGCCCCUUACUUUCCUGGAUAACUGCUCGAAAGUGUAGCUAAUACGGGAUAUUCUUACCAGCCUGCAUGGGUUGGUUUGUAAAGGUUGUUUUUCUGGUAAGUGAUGGGCUCGCGGCCUAUCAGCUUGUUGGUGGGGUGAUGGCCUACCAAGGCUUUGACGGGUAGCCGGCCUGAGAGGGUGGAAGGUGAGACUGGGACUGAGAUAAGGCCCAGAAGCCUACGGGAGGAAGGAGUGGGGAAUAUAGCAGAAUGGGCGCAAGCCUGAUGCAGCGACGCCGGGUGAGGGAUGAAGGCCUUCGGGUUGUAAACCUCUUGCGUCAGGGAACAAGGCACUGCUUUUUUGGUGGUGUUGAGGGUACCUGGAUAAGAAGCGCCGGCUAACUACGUG